UAAAUAAAUAUUUACCAUGUAGCACUUUUCUUUUUGUAACAAUGUAUAUCGUCGUUUCCAUGAAAACCAAUUUUUAAAUUCUCAAACUUCAAAAUAUUUGACAUAGGCAUAUUCAUAUAAAGCAUGGAAAUUAGUUUUGCUGACUGCUAGUGAGAGAUUUAAACGGUUAGUGGACGUAAACUCUGUCAUAGUCUAUGAUUCGGAAUUUCACCAUCUCAUCGCUAAGGGACCACGAGGAUCAGCCUGUCACCUCUUCUAAAAGCAUACAGGUUUACUUUACGUUCUCAAUGGGAGGAACUUCAGUACCGUAAGUCUUUGAAACAUGUCAGAUAUGAGUUUUCACGCCAUUCUGAAACAACUGUUUUGGUCACAUGUCUAGAUUGUUACAGCAUUAUGCCAUAAGUUUGAAAGAGAAAUAGGCAUCUUCUUGGUAUCAUAUUUGUGAUUCGAGAGUCUUGUUCUGAUUAUUUUCAGGUGGCCUCGGUCCUACGUUGAUCCGACGUCCUCUCUGUGACACUUCUCAUCAUAUAACACUUCUUCACGUGUGUUGCAAAACACGCAAAGUAUGAAAGUUGGUUGAAUGGAAAAAAGUGUGAAUGAGUGAGUGCGUGUAGAACUACAUUUAACUACGACAAAUAAUUCUUCACUACACAACACUUUCAGGGUGAUGCGGUCUAUGUGGCAGGAGGUCGCCCCACUUACACAAAUACACACACUACACAUACACUAGGUGGCCUCGGUCCUACGUUGAUCCGACGUCCUCUCUGUGACACUUCUCAUCAUAUAACACUUCUUCACGUGUGUUGCAAAACACGCAAAGUAUGAAAGUUGGUUGAAUGGAAAAAAAGUGUGAAUGAGUGAGUGCGUGUAGAACUGCAUUUAACUACGACAAAUAA